GUAUAUGAAUGUGGACCAAGCAAGAGAAUAAAUGCUGAGAAAUCUAGCUAGCAGGGUCAGCUCUGAUUACGUAAGGUCAUGGGAUAACAACUACUUGCACUGAGUGACAUCAGAAGAAACCAAAACAAGACUCCAACAAGUUUCCAAAAGAUGACCAUCAAUUGAGGAGCAGCAACCCAGCGCCCGGCAACAUGCAUGCA
rnacentral:lncRNA from 1 species